rnacentral:rRNA from 1 species
UCGUGCACGCCUGGAGCGCUCUCUCCAAUCCAUCUCACCCCUUUGUGCAUCACCGCGUGGGUCCCCCCCUUUUGGCUUGUUCGGGAGGGGGGGUUCGCGUUUUUCUUUUUAUGGACACCCUUUAAAUGCAUGUGUAGAAUGUAUUACUUUUUGCGAUCACACGCAAUCAAUACAACUUUCAACAACGGAUCUCUUGGCUCUCGCAUCGAUGAAGAACGCAGCGAAAUGCGAUACGUAAUGUGAAUUGCAGAAUUCAGUGAAUCAUCGAAUCUUUGAACGCACCUUGCGCCCCUUGGUAUUCCGAGGGGCACACCCGUUUGAGUGUCGUGAAUGCCCUCAACCUUUUUGGUUUCUUGACCGGAAAGGCUUGGACUUUGGAGGUUUUUGUUGCUGGCCUCUUUUGAAGGCUCAGCUCCUCCUAAACGAAUCAGUGGGGUCCGCUCUGCCGAUCCUUGACGUGAUAAGUAUGCUUCUACGUCUUGGGUUUCGCACCGUCGCCCUGGAACCUGCUUCCAACCGUCUUCUAACGAAGACACUUUACGAACCUGACCUCAAAUCGGGGAG